rnacentral:rRNA from 1 species
UACGUAGGGUGCGAGCGUUGUCCGGAAUUACUGGGCGUAAAGAGCUCGUAGGUGGUUUGUCGCGUUGUUCGUGAAAACCUGAGGCUUAACCUUGGGCGUGCGGGCGAUACGGGCAGACUGGAGUACUGCAGGGGAGACUGGAAUUCCUGGUGUAGCGGUGGAAUGCGCAGAUAUCGUAAGGAAGACCAGUGGCGAAGGCGGGUCUCUGGACAGUUCCUGACGCUGAGGCACGAAGGUCAGGGGAGCAAACGGG